rnacentral:antisense_RNA from 1 species
GACCACUUUUUUUCUCCAAAACUUAUUUUUUAAGGUGCAAUAAAACACCUUUAUAUAUAGUUUACUUAAAACUUUUAUAAAAACUAGCGUCUACGUGUAGCUGAAGUACGUUCAAGUGAAUCUUUUUGGCUAACAAAGAUCAAAAAAGCUGCUGCUGGAAUAACUAUAAGUAAAGCUGCAGCGAAGAAACUCGCUAUCAUAUUGAAGCCCGAACUACCAGCCACUUCUGGGGAAACAUCAGCCGCUA